CAAUAGCGUAUAUUAAAGUUGUUGCGGUUAAAAAGCUCGUAGUUGGAUUUCUGCUGAGAACGACCGGUCCGCCCUCUGGGUGUGUAUCUGGCUCUUUCUUGGCAUCUUCUUGGUGAACGUUGCUGCACUUGACUGUGUGGAGCGCUACCCAGGACUUUUACUUUGAGGAAAUUAGAGUGUUUCAAGCAGGCAUACGCCUUGAAUACAUUAGCAUGGAAUAAUAAGAUAGGACCUCGGUUCUAUUUUGUUGGUUUCUAGAGCUGAGGUAAUGAUUAAUAGGGAUAGUUGGGGGCAUUCGUAUUUAACUGUCAGAGGUGAAAUUCUUGGAUUUGUUAAAGACGGGCUACUGCGAAAGCAUUUGCCAAGGAUGUUUUCAUUG
rnacentral:rRNA from 1 species